rnacentral:rRNA from 1 species
GAUGAACGCUGGCGGCGUGCCUAAUACAUGCAAGUCGAGCGAAUGGAUUAAGAGCUUGCUCUUAUGAAGUUAGCGGCGGACGGGUGAGUAACACGUGGGUAACCUGCCCAUAAGACUGGGGUAACUCCGGGAAACCGGGGCUAGUACCGGAUAACAUUUUGAACCGCAUGGUUCGAAAUUGAAAGGCGGCUUCGGCUGUCACUUAUGGAUGGACCCGCGUCGCAUUAGCUAGUUGGUGCGGUAACGGCUCACCAAGGCAACGAUGCGUAGCCGACCUGAGAGGGUGAUCGGCCACACUGGGACUGAGACACGGCCCAGACUCCGACGGGAGGCAGCAGUAGGGAAUCUUCCGCAAUGGACGAAAGUCUGACGGAGCAACGCCGCGUGGGUGAUGAAGGCUUUCGGGUCGUAAAACUCUGUUGUUAGGGAAGAACAAGUGCUAGUUGAAUAAGCUGGCACCUUGACGGUACCUAACCAGAAAGCCACGGCUAACUACGUGCCAGCCGCCGCGGUAA